rnacentral:rRNA from 1 species
GACGAACGCUGGCGGCGUGCUUAACACAUGCAAGUCGAACGGAAAGGCCCUGCUUUUGUGGGGUGCUCGAGUGGCGAACGGGUGAGUAACACGUGAGUAACCUGCCCUUGACUUUGGGAUAACUUCAGGAAACUGGGGCUAAUACCGGAUAGGAGCUCCUGCUGCAUGGUGGGGGUUGGAAAGUUUCGGCGGUUGGGGAUGGACUCGCGGCUUGUCAGCUUGUUGGUGGGGUAGUGGCUUAACAAGGCUUCGACGGGUAGCCGGCGUGAGAGGGUGAACGGACACCCUGGAACUGAGACACGGUCCAGACGCCUACGGGAGGCAGCAGUAGGGAAUCUUCCGCAAUGGGCGAAAGCCUGACGGAGCAACGCCGCGUGAGUGAUGACGGUCUUCGGAUCGUAAAACUCUGUUAUUAGGGAAGAACAAAUGUGUAAGUAACUAUGCACGUCUUGACGGUACCUGAUAAGAAAGCCACGGCUAACUACGUG